rnacentral:lncRNA from 1 species
UUUAGCAGAACCUGUCCUAGAAACAAUUUUAUUCAAAGUGUUGAUGAGCUUGAGUCAAGAACUGCUGUAGCACGGACUUCACUGUCUGGGAUACUGUGACCUGCACAAUGUUUUACUCCUCCUGAAGAAAUCAAAGUCCCCCUCCUACCCCCAAAGUGGCUUCAGAGGUGCAAAAGGGAAACUUGGCUGCUUCAUUUAAUAACCUGUUCCAAGAGUUCUAAGGCGUUAUUUCUUCAAGAGAGAAAACUCUAGGAAACUAAAGAGAAGAGAGAAGAGAAUCUCAAAUGGUGACGGUUUUUUUCAACCUCAUCUACACCUCAAUUUUAAGACAUUUUAUAAUAUUUAAGAAUUAGCAGAGAGGUUACAAGAUAGAAAUUAGAAACUACCAAAGACUGUUCAUUUAAAAGUAUCUAUUGUCCAUGAAAUCCAGCUGAAAGGCUCUAUCAGUUACUAAAACAUCCCUGGAAGCCAACUGCUUUCAAAAAG